rnacentral:rRNA from 1 species
CGUAGGGGGCAAGCGUUGUCCGGAUUUACUGGGCGUAAAGCGCGUGUAGGCGGCCACACAGGUCCGUUGUGAAAACUGGAGGCUUAACCUCCAGACGUCGACGGAAACCGUGUGGCUAGAGUCCGGAAGAGGAGAGUGGAAUUCCUGGUGUAGCGGUGAAAUGCGCAGAUAUCAGGAAGAACACCAAUGGCGAAGGCAGCUCUCUGGGACGGUACUGACGCUGAGACGCGAAAGCGUGGGGAGCGAACAGGAUUAGAUACCCUGGUAGUCCACGCCGUAAACGAUGGGUGCUAGGUGUGGGAGGUGUCGACUCCUUCCGUGCCGUAGCUAACGCAUUAAGCACCCCGCCUGGGGAGUACGGCCGCAAGGCUA